UACGGAGGGUGCAAGCGUUGUCCGGAUUUAUUGGGUUUAAAGGGUGCGUAGGUGGGCGCUUAAGUCAGCUUUGAAAGUGGCCUGCUUAACAGGACAGGGUGGGUUGAUACUGGGCGUCUUGGAUCAGGUGGCGGUUUCUGGAACGGGUCGUGUAGCGGUGAAAUGCAUAGAUAUGACCCAGAACUCCGAUUGCGAAGGCAGGAGGCUACGCCUGGAUUGACACUGAGGCACGAGAGCAUGGGGAGCAAACAGG
rnacentral:rRNA from 1 species